rnacentral:tRNA from 1 species
GCAGUUCAGAGGUAGAGCAUCUGAUUGGCAUUCAGUGGGUCCCAGGUUCAAUCUCUGGCAUAUCCA